UACGCUGGAAGAGCAGUCGGUUCGGCCUGUCCGCCAGGCAGGCACGUCGCAAGAGGGAAUCCGGUGAGAUUCCGGAGCUGCCCCGCAGCGGUGAGUGGGAACGAACGCCGUCAUACGCACUGGGCCCGAGCGGGCCCGGGAAGCGACGGCCAGUAGGUGCCGGUCCGUGACACGGACGCGGCAGGCCCGCGAGUCCGAAGACCUGCCGCUGCCCGUGUACGACG
rnacentral:ncRNA from 1 species